rnacentral:rRNA from 1 species
GACGAACGCUGGCGGCGUGCUUAACACAUGCAAGUCGAACGGAAAGGCCCUGCUUUUGUGGGGUGCUCGAGUGGCGAAAGGGUGAGUAACACGUGAGUAACCUGCCCUUGACUUUGGGAUAACUUCAGGAAACUGGGGCUAAUAUCGGAUAGGAGCUCCUGCUGCAUGGUGGGGGUUGGAAAGUUUCGGCGGUUGGGGAUGGACUCGCGGCUUAUCAGCUUGUUGGUGGGGUAGUGGCUUACCAAGGCUUUGACGGGUAGCCGGCCUGAGAGGGUGACCGGCCACAUUGGGUCUGAGAUACGGCCCAGACUCCUACGGUAGGCAGCAGUGGGGAAUAUUGCACAAUGGGCGGAAGCCUGAUGCAGCAACGCCGCGUGCGGGAUGACGGCCUUCGGGUUGUAAACCGCUUUCGCCUGUGACGAAGCGUGAGUGACGGUAAUGGGUAAAGAAGCACCGGCUAACUACGUG